AACGAACGCUGGCGGCAUGCCUAACACAUGCAAGUCGAACGAGACCUUCGGGUCUAGUGGCGCACGGGUGCGUAACGCGGGGGAACCUGCCCUUAGGUUCGGCAUAACUCCCCGAAAGGGGUGCUAAUACCGGAUAAUGUCUUCGGACCAAAGAUUUAUCGCCUUUGGAUGGGCCCGCGUGGGAUUAGCUAGUUGGUAGGGUAAAAGCCUACCAAGGCGACGAUCCAUAGCUGGGUAGAGAGGAUGAGCAGCCACACUGGUACUGAGACACGGCCCAGAAUACUGCGGGAGGCAGCAGUGGGGAAUAUUGGAAAAUGGGCGGAAGGCUGAUGCAGCAAUGACGCGUGAGUGAUGAAGGCCGUAGGGUUGGAAAGCUAUUUUAUCCGGGAUGAUAAUGACAGUACCGGGAGAAUAAGCACCGGCUAACUCCGUG
rnacentral:rRNA from 1 species